rnacentral:misc_RNA from 1 species
UCUAUCUACCUCUAUCCCUAUA